GCUUCCUUGGCUCAGUUGGCUAGAGCGCGAGUCUCAUAAUCUGAGGUCACUUCUGACUGAAUCUCGAGGUCGCAAGUUCGAGCCUUGCAGGGAGCA
rnacentral:tRNA from 1 species